rnacentral:rRNA from 1 species
UACGUAGGUGGCAAGCGUUGUCCGGAUUUACUGGGUGUAAAGGGCGUGCAGCCGGGAGUGCAAGUCAGAUGUGAAAUCCCGCGGCUCAACCGCGGAACUGCAUUUGAAACUGUGCUUCUUGAGUGCUGGAGAGGCAGACGGAAUUCCUAGUGCAGCGGUGAAAUGCGUAGAUAUUAGGAGGAACACCAGUGGCGAAGGCGGUCUGCUGGACAGUAACUGACGGUGAGGCGCGAAAGCGUGGGGAGCAAACAGG